CAAUAGCGUGUAUUAAAGUUGUUGCAGUUAAAAAGCUCGUAGUUGGAUUUCUGGUAGGAGUGACCGUUCCGAACUUGAUUGUUCGUGUAUUGUGUUUUCUCCAGCCAUCCUUGUAGAGAACUUUUCUUGCAUUAAUUUGUAGGGAUUGGGACCCGCAUCGUUUACUGUGAAAAAAUUAGAGUGUUUAAAGCAGGCAAUCGCUUGAAUACAUUAGCAUGGAAUAAUAAGAUAGGACUUUGGUACUAUUUUGUUGGUUUGCAUACCAAAUUAAUGAUCAACAGGAACAGUUUGAGGAUAUUCGUAUGAACAUGUCAGAGGUGAAAUUCUUGGAUUUUGAUCAGACGAACUACUGCGAAAGCAUUUAUCAAGGAUGUUUUCAUUAA
rnacentral:rRNA from 1 species